UACCACCCUUUAAUGUUUGAUGUUCUAACGUGGACCCGUUACCCGGGUUGCGGACAGUGUCUGGUGGGUAGUUUGACUGGGGCGGUCUCCUCCUAAAGAGUAACGGAGGAGCACGAAGGUUGGCUAAUCCUGGUCGGACAUCAGGAGGUUAGUGCAAUGGCAUAAGCCAGCUUGACUGCGAGCGUGACGGCGCGAGCAGGUGCGAAAGCAGGUCAUAGUGAUCCGGUGGUUCUGAAUGGAAGGGCCAUCGCUCAACGGAUAAAAGGUACUCCGGGGAUAACAGGCUGAUACCGCCCAAGAGUUCAUAUCGACGGCGGUGUUUGGCACCUCGAUGUCGGCUCAUCACAUCCUGGGGCUGAAGUAGGUCCCAAGGGUAUGGCUGUUCGCCAUUUAAAGUGGUACGCGAGCUGGGUUUAGAACGUCGUGAGACAGUUCGGUCCCUAUCUGCCGUGGGCGCUGGAGAACUGAGGGGGGCUGCUCCUAGUACGAGAGGACCGGAGUGGACGCAUCACUGGUGUUCGGGUUGUCAUGCCAAUGGCACUGCCCGGUAGCUAAAUGCGGAAGAGAUAAGUGCUGAAAGCAUCUAAGCACGAAACUUGCCCCGA
rnacentral:rRNA from 1 species